rnacentral:rRNA from 1 species
AUUGAACGCUGGCGGCAGGCCUAACACAUGCAAGUCGAACGAGUGGCGGACGGGUGAGUAAUGUCUGGGACACUGCCUGAAGGAGGGGGAUAACUACUGGAAACGGUAGCUAAUACCGCAUACCAUCAGAUGUGCCCAGCUGGGAUUAGCUAGUUGGUGGGGUAACGGCUCAACAAGGCGACGAUCCCUAGCUGGUCUGAGAGGAUGACCAGCCACACUGGAACUGCGAAACGGUGCAGACGCCUACGGGAGGCAGCAGUGGGAAAUAUUGAACGAUGGGCGCAAGCCUGAUGCAGCCAUGCCGCGUGUAUGAAGAAAGCCUUCGGGUUGUAAAGUACUUUCAGCGGGGAGGCGUUACCCGCAGAAGAAGCACCGGCUAGCUCCGUGCCAGCAGCCGCGGUAAUAC